CAUUUACCAGCUCAGUUGGUAAAGCAUGAGACUCUUAAUCUCAGCAGGGCCAUGGAUUCAAGCCUCAUGUUGAGUGA